GGUUGCGAUCAUACCAGCACUAAUGCACCGGAUCCCAUCAGAACUCCGCAGUUAAGCGUGCUUGGGCGAGAGUAGUACUACGAUGGGUGACCCCCUGGGAAGUCCUCGUGUUGCAACCCC
rnacentral:rRNA from 1 species